AUUGAACGCUGGCGGCAGGCUUAACACAUGCAAGUCGAGCGAGCGGCGGACGGGUGAGUAAUGUAUGGGAAACUGCCUGAUGGAGGGGGAUAACUACUGGAAACGGUGGCUAAUACCGCAUACCAUCAGAUGUGCCCAUAUGGGAUUAGCUAGUAGGUGGGGUAAUGGCUCACCAAGGCGACGAUCCCUAGCUGGUCUGAGAGGAAGACCAGCCACACGUGAACUUAGACACGGUCCAGACUCCUACGGGAGGCAGCAGUGGGGAAUAUUGCACAAUGGGCGCAAGCCUGAUGCAGCCAGGCCGCGUGUGUGAAGAAGGCCUUCGGGUUGUAAAGUACUUUCAGCGAGGAGGCGUUAUUCGCAGAAUAAGCACCGGCUAACUCCGUGCCAGCAGCCGCGGUAAUUC
rnacentral:rRNA from 1 species